rnacentral:rRNA from 1 species
UAGAUACCCUGGUAGUCCACGCCGUAAACGGUGGGCGCUAGGUGUGGGUUUCCUUCCACGGGAUCCGUGCCGUAGCCAACGCAUUAAGCGCCCCGCCUGGGGAGUACGGCCGCAAGGCUAAAACUCAAAGGAAUUGACGGGGGCCCGCACAAGCUGCGGAGCAUGUGGAUUAAUUCGAUGCAACGCGAAGAACCUUACCUGGGUUUGACAUGUACCGGACGACUGCAGAGAUGUGGUUUCCCUUGUGGCC